UACAGAAUUAAUAAAAAAAUUUUUUUCUUGUUAUAGGAACUUUAAGAUCUACUUGCUCAGCAAAUUUCAAAAAUGCA